ACACCUUCGGGAGAUUAUUGUUCCAAAAGGGGCUGAACACAACUCCUGCUUGUCGGUGCUUCUGGAACAUUUUCUUCUCUCCUUAUCUCUCCUUUUCCCAGAGGAUGCUGUGCUUUGAUGUCUCUGUAACACAGAUCACACUGACACUGAGAGGAACAUAAACAACUGAAUUUUAAACCAGACUCAGCAACUAACGUGACAUUGUGAAGGACACACCAGCACUUAUCAUCUCUCCAGAUGAGUUGCUUGUACUUCUGGAAAGAUGAAUCCAGCAGAUUGGUGUGUACAGGGAAGAAAGGAAAUGACACGGAGCUGUUGCACAUUGUUAUCGAGAACUGAAACGCAGUGAGAUGGAGGAUCCACACGGCAGUGCUCAGAGGCCUGAAAAUUCAUUUGAAAAGAGCAGGAAGUUAAUUCUGCAGAGGUUAUUCCUUCACUAAGCCCUGCACUCUUCCCUUGCCCCAGCAAGAAUAGUGAGUGGCUUUCGGAGAAGUUACUCUCACAGUCUAAUCAAGCCUGUUCUCUCUAAUUGAAGUUAAUCACAGGAAAGAGGUUAGAGAGGAUGGUCCUGGUGAGCAAUGCCCAUUCAAGGGGUCCAGUGAUGUCACCUGGCACAAGCACUGAGGGGUCUGGCACUGGUUUUAUUUCACCUGUUUACCUAAAGAAUUGCUCUGAUCUGUUUCUAAUAGAACAGUAAUCUGCACUCUUCUGGGGCUGGAGAAGCUGGGUUUCUGAGGGAAUUUGACAGCAUCUUUACUAGUUUAUGGCAGAAAAGAAAAGGCACUUAAGGGGAUUUUGUUUGUCACUUGAAAAUUAGCCUAGAGGAAAAAGAAUCUUCAAUUCAAAUUUAAUUAAAAACUGAUGAACCAAA